ensembl:lncRNA
GGGGACAUUGGGGAUGGGGGAAUGUGGGAACACCGGGAAUGUGGGGAUGGGGGGGAUGAUGUCCCCAAGCAGUUCCAGGGGCCACCAUGGGGGACAAUGAACCCCACUGAGGGACACCAAUGGGCCAACAGAACAUUUAUAGGGCCACGUAACAACGCGAGCGACCCGACAUGAAGCCAAAGGAGGACAAUGGGUGGCGCUGAGUGACACCAAUGGCUCCCAAUGUCCCCAAGUAGUUCCCAGGGCCACCAGGAGGGACAAUGGACCCCAUUGAGGGACACCCAACGCCGAAGGUCACCCAAUGGGCCCCAAUACCACCUAUAGGGCCACGUAUCAACAUGAGCAUCCCAACAUGAAGCCAAAGGGGGACAAUGGAUGGCGUUGAGUGACGCCAAUGGCUCCCAAUGUCCCCACAGAGCUCUGAGUGCCAUCAGGAGGGACAACGGACCCCAUUGAGGGACACCCCACACCAAAGGUCACCCAAUGGGCCAACAGAACAUUUAUAGGGCCACGUAACAACGCGAGCGACCCGACAUGAAGCCAAAGGAGGACAAUGGGUGGCGCUGAGUGACACCAAUGGCUCCCAAUGUCCCCACAGAGCUCUGAGGGUCACCAUGAGUGACAUUUGGACCCCAAUGAGGGACACCCAACGCUGAAGGUCACCCAAUGGGCCAACAGAACAUUUAUAGGGCCACGUAACAACGCGAGCGACCCGACAUGAAGCUAAAGGAGGACAAUGGGUGGCGCUGAGUGACACCAAUGGCUCCCAAUGUCCCCACAGAGCUCUGAGGGUCACCAUGAGUGACAUUUGGACCCCAAUGAGGGACACCCAACGCUGAAGGUCACCCAAUGGGCCAACAGAACAUUUAUAGGGCCACGUAACAACGCGAGCGACCCGACAUGAAGCCAAAGGAGGACAAUGGGUGGCGCUGAGUGACACCAAUGGCUCCCAAUGUCCCCAAGUAGUUCCCAGGGCCACCAGGAGGGACAACGGACCCCAUUGAGGGACACCCCACACCAAAGGUCACCCAAUGGGCCAACAGAACAUUUAUAGGGCCACGUAACAACGUGAGCGACCCGACAUGAAGCCAAAGGGGGACAAUGGGUGGCGCUGAGUGACACCAAUGGCUCCCAAUGUCCCCAGGAGGGACAAUGGACCCCAUUGAGGGACACCCAACGUUGAAGGUCACCCAAUGGGCCCCAAUACCACCUAUAGGGCCACAUAUCAACACGAGCAUCCCAACAUGAAGACAACGGAGGGCAAUGGGUGGCGCUGAGUGACACCAAUGGCUCCCAAUGUCCCCACAGAGCUCUGAGUGCCAUCAGGAGGGACAACGGACCCCAUUGAGUGACACCCAACGCCAAAGGCCACCCAAUGGGCCAAGAAAACAUUUAUAGGGCCACGUAACAACGCGAGCGACCCGACAUGAAGCCAAAGGGGGACAAUGGGUGGCACUGAGUGACACCAAUGGCUCCCAAUGUCCCCAGGAGGGACAAUGGACCCCAUUAAGGGACACCCAACGUUGUUGGACAACC